GAUCAAUUAUCCAAUAAUUAAU
rnacentral:snRNA from 1 species